rnacentral:rRNA from 1 species
UACGUAGGGUGCGAGCGUUGUUCGGAAUUACUGGGCGUAAAGGGCUCGUAGGCGGCCAACUAAGUCCGACGUGAAAUCCCCAGGCUUAACCUGGGAACUGCGUCGGAUACUGGAUGGCUUGAAUCCGGGAGAGGGAUGCGGAAUUCCAGGUGUAGCGGUGAAAUGCGUAGAUAUCUGGAGGAACACCGGUGGCGAAGGCGGCAUCCUGGACCGGCAUUGACGCUGAUGAGCGAAAGCCAGGGGAGCAAACGGG